CCUACGGGUGGCAGCAGUGGGGAAUAUUGGGCAAUGGGCGCAAGCCUGACCCAGCAACGCCGCGUGAAGGAAGAAGGCUUUCGGGUUGUAAACUUCUUUUGUCAGGGACGAAGCAAGUGACGGUACCUGACGAAUAAGCCACGGCUAACUACGUGCCACCAGUCGCGGGAAUACGUAGGUGGCAAGCGUUAUCCGGAUUGACUGGGUGUAAAGGGCGUGUAGGCGGGACUGCAAGUCAGAUGUGAAAAGCACGGGCACAAACUGUGGCAAGCAUUUGAAACUGUAGGUCUUGAGUACUGGAGAGGCAGACGGAAUUCGUGGUGUAGCGGUGAAAUGCGUAGAUAUUAGGAGGAACACCGGUGGCGAAGGCGGUCUGCUGGACAGCAACUGACGCUGAGGCGCGAAAGCGUGGGGAGCGAACAGGAUUAGAUACCCGAGUAGUC
rnacentral:rRNA from 1 species